UGCAAGUCGAACGAAGUAGCAAUACUUAGUGGCAGACGGGUGAGUAACAUGUAGGUAUCUGCCCUUUGGCCUGGAAUAACACGAGGAAACUUGUGCUAAUACCGGAUAAGCCUUUACAGGGAAAGCUUUAGCGCCGAAAGAUGAGCUCAUACUUGAUUAGCUAGUUGGUAAGGUAAUGGCUUACCAAGGCUACGAUCAAUAGCUGAUCUGAGAGGAUGAUCAGCCACAUUGGGACUGAGACACGGCCCAGACUCCUACGGGAGGCAGCAGCAGGGAAUCUUGCGCAAUGGGCGAAAGCCUGACGCAGCGACACCGCGUGGAGGAUGAAGGUCUUAGGAUUGUAAACUCCUUUUAUCAGGGAAGAGAAAGGACGGUACCUGAUGAAUAAGGAUCGGCUAACUACGUGCCAGCAGCCGCGGUAAUACGUAGGAUCCGAGCGUUGUCCGAAUUUACUGGGCGUAAAGAGCGCGUAGGCGGUUUGUUAAGUCUCAUGUGUAAUCUCCCGGCUCAACUGGGAGGGGUCAUGGGAUACUGACAGACUUGAGGAUAGCAGAGGAAAGCGGAAUUCCCGGAGUAGUGGUGAAAUGCGUAGAUACCGGGAGGAACACCAGAGGCGAAGGCGGCUUUCUGGGCUAUUUCUGACGCUGAGGCGCGAAAGCGUGGGGAGCGAACCGGAUUAGAUA
rnacentral:rRNA from 1 species